UCGAACACAACAAAGACUUGGACGAAUUUUUUAUCUCCUUCUGCACCUUAGAUUGAAAAUAAAAAACCCAAUCAAUUUCGAAUUAAACUCCAAUAAAGGAAAAUCCGUCAUCAUUCUUAUGAUCCAAUCAAAGAAAAACCCAUCUUCAUUCUUAUGAUUUCGCUGUGUUUUCAUCAACUCAUUAGUUUCAAGGAAUUUGAAGAGAAAUAAGAACGAAGAAGGUGAUUUAUUUCUGGUGAAAUCCAUUGGUUAUCGUUGCUGGGAAAAGCUUCAACUUAGCAAAACGUCUUUUGUGCAUUGGCUUGAAGUUGGUCUUCAAUAUCACUUCAGUCGAGCAGAGAUGCUAUUGAAUCACAAGACCCGAAACGAGCCAUGCAAACCUGGCGCCCACUUCAUCACACUUGAAAAGAUCAAUGGUGAGGAGAAGAAGCUGCAUACAAAAAUUAAGGCACAUGAAGCCAUCUCACUUAUAUACUCAAGCUCAUCAGAAACAGUGUUCACUAAGGGGUUAGUUGUUAUUCUCCUGGGUGAAUGUGUAAUCUAUAACAGAUCUGCUGAGAGUGGUAAGGAUGCUUUUAUGGUAGUUGAUGCCAUCAGCCAGAAGAUUGGUAUUUACUCCAUACUUCCUAAAUUUGAAUUGCACAGAAGAGGUUUCCUUCGAUUUUUCGAACAAGGUAUGUUUUGGUUUAAAAUAUUUAUCUUCAAUUUUACUUUUUCCCAUUACACUCUUCGUAAAGAUUCUUCAGUCCUAUCCCUUUACUGUACCUAUUGUCCCAUUGGCAAUCGUAAAGUAAAUGUUGCCGAACUGCCAUAGACACCCAAACUUUUUAUUUUGCCUUGCAGGAGUCUGUCCAGUUUAUAGAAAAUCUCGCAUGCCUGUACAGUUUGAUACAUUAAGUUUCUGUACGCCAAACAACAAUGAUUUCUUGACUAGUACAUGAGCAAUAUUUAGUGUAUGCUGAAUGCACAUAGUUUUGUUAUGUUUAAUCAACUGAGGAUAAUGGAUUGCGGAAGGAAAACUUGCACACUACUAUUUAAUUUGUAAUGAUGAUUUCCCAUUUUGUCUUCAGUCCUGGUCCUAGUUCUAGAUCAAGUUGAAUGUUGACAUUUUGUUGUUUGGUGCUGCUGCUGGUUUAUGACAUUUCUAACUGUAUGCCGAAAUUCAAUUAUUGGUUUAUGACAUUUCUUAGAUGUGCAUAUGCGGGGGUGAACCCCAGGAUCGAAGUGGACAGUAGAGUGACUUCUAAAAAUGCUUUCCAAGGUGUAGUUAUGAACUCUUAUGGAUUUCUUUAGUAAUUAGAUACUAUUGGGUCAGCACCAAUAUAUCUUUACUUCGGACAUGCAACACAUACAAAAAUGUUUGAAACUCCUGUGGUUAUUCACAUACAGUUGGCUCAUCUUAUCGAUGUGCAAGAUUGCUAGGAUAAAGCGGUACGGGGACAAGUUUUUUGUAGAUGAGGUAUGCUACUUGCUCUUGCAAAUGCCGAACUGGUUUGUUCGGUUGUUCCUCAUUCCUCACACAUCGAAUAAAGCAACCUCUAUAGGCAAAUCUAUCCACCACAGUCAUGGACGACAUUUUUUGGGCAAUAGUACUGCUAUUUGUCUAAGUACAUAGAUUCUUCAAGAAUUAAUUUCACUGUUCCGACCUUUGUGCUAAAUGGUCGUUAUAGACUUUAAAGUGGGGAUAGCAAACGAUACAUCAUGUCAGUUCUAGACCUUUGUCAGUUUUUCUUAAGGUUUCAUGGAACUGCGUUUUCGAUUGACUUUUUUUUUCUUGGUUGUCUGUCCGAGUGGUUAAUGUGUUUGCAGUUGACAAAUUAAGAAGAUAAUCAUAUAAUUCUUUAAACUA